GCCACAGCCACUUGCAUUUGGCAGACUCAAAGGAAAGUGGAAGAGUGUGAAGGUUUGAGGAGAAGAAAGAGAAGUCUGCAGGUGCCCUCUUUGGAGAUUGCUGUCUUGGGGAAGCUGUAGGAGCCCUAUGAGUUAUAUACUAUGUUAUCAUCAUUUCAAUUUUAUGGACAAGAAUAUAAAAUCAGAGAGAGGUGAAGUGAUUUACCCAGGAGUCCCACAGCUGCCUCCUCUGAGCAUGUCUGCUGAGACCAGGUGAAAAGAGCAUUCGAAGAUAAAAUGAGAGAGUGGACAUGACAACACAGCUGACAAUUUAUUUU